CACUCCUGCGGGAGGCAGCAGUGGGGAAUUUUGGACAAUGGGCGAAAGCCUGAUCCAGCAAUGCCGCGUGAGUGAAGAAGGCCUUCGGGUUGUAAAGCUCUUUUGUCAGGGAAGAAACGGUGAGAGCUAAUAUCUUUUGCUAAUGACGGUACCUGAAGAAUAAGCACCGGCUAACUACGUGCCAGCAGCCGCGGUAAUACGUAGGGUGCAAGCGUUAAUCGGAAUUACUGGGCGUAAAGCGUGCGCAGGCGGUUUUGUAAGUCUGAUGUGAAAUCCCCGGGCUCAACCUGGGAAUUGCAUUGGAGACUGCAAGGCUAGAAUCUGGCAGAGGGGGGUAGAAUUCCACGUGUAGCAGUGAAAUGCGUAGAUAUGUGGAGGAACACCGAUGGCGAAGGCAGCCCCCUGGGUCAAGAUUGACGCUCAUGCACGAAAGCGUGGGGAGCAAACAGGAUUAGAAACCCCUGUAGUCCCAUG
rnacentral:rRNA from 1 species